rnacentral:lncRNA from 1 species
GCAACUAAAGCCAGCCAGCCUUGCUCAAGCCUGCAUGACCACAACCACAACCACAACCUACCAAGGUGCGCACUCCAUUUAUAACACAAGGAUGGUAACAGAUGAAAUUCAAAUGAAUAGAAUACGAAGACCGCAACAAAAGAGUUUUAUAAUUUGAUGCUAUUAUGUACAUAUUAACACUGAUUAUUGGACAUAUAUAUUCUGUCUGUUUCUUAUUUACAGUUUUCAACAGAAGAUGAUACCCCAACAUCACACUAUCCACAAUUCUGCAUUGC